UACGUAGGGGGCGAGCGUUGUCCGGAUUUAUUGGGCGUAAAGAGCUCGUAGGCGGCUUGGCAAGUCGGAUGUGAAAUCUCCUGGCUCAACUGGGAGGCGCCAUUCGAUACUGCCAUGGCUAGAGUCCGGUAGAGGAGUGUGGAAUUCCCGGUGUAGCGGUGAAAUGCGCAGAUAUCGGGAGGAACACCUAUAGCGAAGGCAGCACUCUGGGCCGGUACUGACGCUCAGGAGCGAAAGCGUGGGGAGCGAACAGG
rnacentral:misc_RNA from 1 species